UGAACUCAAAUACGUAUGGAGUUGCAAUGUUAGCUACGUUUGCCGCUAGGGGCGCUGUUCCAACGGCAUACAAAUUCGAGUUA
rnacentral:pre_miRNA from 1 species